rnacentral:rRNA from 1 species
GACGAACGCUGGCGGCGUGCUUAACACAUGCAAGUCGAACGAAGUGGCGAACGGGUGAGUAACGCGUAAUCAACCUGCCCUUCAGAGGGGGACAACAGUGGGAAACGACUGCUAAUACCGCAUACGGAAGGAGGGGAUUGCGGGGGAUUAGCUAGUUGGGGGGGUAACGGCCGACCAAGGCGAUGAGAAGGAGCCGGUCUGGGGGUAUGAACGGCCAAAUUGGGACUGGGACACGGCCCAGACUUCUUCGGGAGGCAGCAGUGGGGAAUCUUCCGCAAUGGACGAAAGGCUGACGGAGCAACGCCGCGGUGUGUAUGACGGCCUUCGGGUUUGAAAGCUCUGUUAAUCGGGACGCGGUACCGGAAGAGAAAGCCACGGCUAACUACGUGCCAGCAGCCGCGGUAAUUC